AGAGUUUGAUCCUGGCUCAGGACGAACGCUGGCGGCGUUAACACAUGCAAGUGGUGCGACGAACCAGGGCUUGCCCUGGGGAAGCGCGAACGGGUGAGUAACACGUGAGNNACCUGCCCCGAUGACCGGGACAACCCGAGGAAACUCGGGCUAAUACCGGAUGUGGCGCACAGGCGUAAGCUUGUUCGCUAAAGGAAGCUUCGGCCUCCGCAUUGGGAGGGGCUCGCGGCCCAUAGCUUGUUGGUGGGGUACGGCCUNNCAAGGCAACGAUGGGUAGCUGGUCUGAGAGGACGAUCAGCCACACUGGGACUGAGACACGGCCCAGACUCCUACGGGAGGCAGCAGUGGGGAAUCUUGCGCAAUGCGCGAAAGCGUGACGCAGCAACGCCGCGUGGGGGAAGACGGCCUUCGGGUUGUAAACCCCUUUCAGGAGGGACGAAGGCUCGCCGGUGAAUAGCCGUGCGAGUUGACGGUACCUCCACAAGAAGCUCCGGCUAACUACGUGCCAGCAGCCGCGGUAAUACGUAGGGAGCAAGCGUUGUCCGGAAUCAUUGGGCGUAAAGCGCGCGUAGGUGGCCUCAUAAGUCCGCUGUGAAAGUCAAAGGCUCAACCUUUGAAAGCCGGUGGAUACUGUGGGGCUAGAGUACGGAAGAGGCGAGUGGAAUUCCUGGUGUAGCGGUGGAAUGCGCAGAUAUCAGGAGGAACACCAAUAGCGAAGGCAGCUCGCUGGGACGUUACUGACACUGAGGCGCGAAAGCGUGGGGAGCGAACAGGAUUAGAUACCCUAGUAGUCC
rnacentral:rRNA from 1 species